AUUAUCAGCUUUGACACAACUCACACAUGCAAGUCUCCGCAACCCAGUGAGCACGCCCUCAAUCCCCCGCCCGGGGAAGAGGAGCAGGCAUCAGGCACAAAAAUUUAGCCCAAGACGCCUAGCCCAGCCACACCCCCAAGGGAAUUCAGCAGUGAUAAACAUUAAGCCAUAAGUGAAAGCUUGACUCAGUUAGUGUUAAGAGAGCCGGUAAAACUCGUGCCAGCCACCGCGGUUAGACGAGAGGCCCCAGUUGAUAAUUUAACGGCGUAAAGGGUGGUUAAGGAUAAAUAACAAAUAAAGCCAAAUGGCCCUCUGGCCGUCAUACGCUUCUAGAUGUCUGAAGCCCCAACACGAAAGUAGCUUUAACUUCACCUGACCCCACGAAAGCUAAGAAACAAACUAGGAUUAGAUACCCUACUAUGCUUAGCCGUAAACUUAGACAUCCAACUACAAUUAGAUGUCCGCCAGGGUACUACAAGCAUUAGCUUAAAACCCAAAGGACUUGACGGUGUCUCACCCCU
rnacentral:rRNA from 1 species